GGGUACGGUCCCUACCGGCAAACGGGUGAUGAAUACUUGGGAAUCUGCCUCGUAGUGGGGGAUAACGUUCCGAAAGGAACGCUAAUACCGCAUACGUCCUACGGGAGAAAGGGGGGGAUCUUCGGACCUCUCGCUAUGAGAUGAGCCCAAGUCGGAUUACCUAGUUGGUGGGGUAAAGGCCCACCAAGGCAACGAUCCGUAUCUGGUCUGAGAGGAUGAUCAGCCACACUGGAACUGAGACACGGUCCAGACUCCUACGGGAGGCGGCAGUGGGGAAUAUUGGACAAUGGGCGCAAGCCUGAUCCAGCCAUGCCGCGUGUGUGAAGAAGGCCUUAGGGUUGUAAAGCACUUU
rnacentral:rRNA from 1 species